rnacentral:rRNA from 1 species
UACAGAGGUGGCAAGCGUUGUUCGGAAUUACUGGGCGUAAAGGGCGCGUAGGCGGCCUGUUAAGUCGAACGUGAAAUCCCCGGGCUCAACCCGGGAACUGCGUCCGAUACUGGCUGGCUUGAAUCCGGGAGAGGGAUGCGGAAUUCCAGGUGUAGCGGUGAAAUGCGUAGAUAUCUGGAGGAACACCGGUGGCGAAGGCGGCAUCCUGGACCGGUAUUGACGCUGAGGCGCGAAAGCCAGGGGAGCAAACGGG